ACUGACCUCGUCCCAGCUUCUCCCUGUCAGUGUGGGGGUCCUCAAGGAGCUCAGGGCAUCCUGCCCACAGGGUGGGCAUGGGAUGGGUGGGACAGGCAGAGGGGAUUGGUGCCACUGGACACACGUCCUUCAGGGGCACAGGCGCCUUCUAAAAUUAUCCCAUUCCCAUCCCCACCUCUUUGCAAAUGCCAGGCAUGGCGAGGGCUCAGCACAGCCUCCCUCCCUAUCCCUAUCCUUAUCCUUAUCCCAAGGCUAUUUUGGGAGCAGAUCCCCUUUCCCGGGUGCAAACAGGAGGUGGAGGACUGGCGCCAGGGGCAGGUGCUAUUCCUGGGGAUGACAUAAGAGCUUCCAUAACCCUAAAACUAGGGAGAGGCACAGAGAGGAGCUGCUGGAGGAGGUAGUACGGAUGGGGACGGCACCGGGUACCCAUGCCCACCCCACAUCCAGGGUGCUGCCUUACUGCUGGUCCCAUAUGAUGAGGUGGAAAAGAACAUUUGGAUCCUGCAGAGGAAAAUAAAGAAAAGAAACCACAAGAGCAAUAUCAGCAUGAGCCCUGAGCGUCGCUGCGGCCGGGAGAGGCUCUCCAAGCCAACAGCUUUACGUAAGCAGCCGGGGUGAGCACCAAGGUCCUGGCCCUUCAGCUGCUGCCUGCUCCCAGCUAUUGAGGAAUUUUCCACGUGGUGUAAAGGAAAGGAGUGAAUGGGAUCAGCCUGCAAUUGGGCUUUCUCUCUGCACCCACCCCUUUCUCAGCUCUUACCUUCUGGAUUUUGGGCUGCAUGCGGGACGGGCAAGGGGGCAUCUGGUUGAGGGCUGUUGUUAUUUCCUGUGACUCAACGGCAGCCAGGGCAUUGCAGAUGGCCAUGACCGACUGGAUCACCCGCUCUGCCUUCAGUGGGAAGUCUCCCUGUGGGGCAGAGGGAGGCUGAGAAGGGCUCAGAGACAAGGCAAAGCGGAGCCCAGGACCUUUGGGGAGGCUGCAGCAACAGGGCACGGGGCAGGGAGCAACAUCUGCACCCUCCUGUGUGUAAGUAAAUACCAAGAAGAGGAAUAAAUGCUGCCCUCAGUCUUCACAGCAGCUCCCCAGCUUGCUACACACCAUAUACAGUGAGUGCAUCAGACUGUGCCUCAGUUUCCCCUUGUUUCCCAGCCUUUCCCCUUCUCCGAAGCACCCUUAGAGCCCCAUCAUAAGGCAAAAAAGUCCACAGUAAAUGCUGCUGGGAUCCAGAGGAAAAUGGGAACCCACUCUUUUGUGGCUGUGCUGUCCUCUUGGGUGUGUGGCAGCCCCCCGGGCACACGGGUGGGAUGGGGUGGAUCUGUGCAGGAGCACUGAGCAAUACUCAGAGGGAUGGAUACACGAGGAGAAGAGGCUGCACCCCCAAAAGGACUCACCUCAGCUGCUAGGAAUGUAUCCACCUCAUUGUGAAAGGUGUC